AGCAGCAGCCACGGUAAUACGUAGGUGGCAAGCGUUGUCCGGAAUUAUUGGGCGUAAAGGGAGCGCAGGCGGGCAUGUAAGUCUUUCUUAAAAGUUCGGGGCUCAACCCCGUGAUGGGGUAGAAACUACAUGUCUUGAGUACAGGAGAGGAAAGCGGAAUUCCCAGUGUAGCGGUGAAAUGCGUAGAUAUUGGGAGGAACACCAGUGGCGAAGGCGGCUUUUUGGCCUGUAACUGACACUGAGGCGCGAAAGCGUGGGGAGCAAACAGGAUUAGAUACCCCCGUAGUCCCUGUCUCUUAUACA
rnacentral:rRNA from 1 species